UGGGAAGUAUUGGGCAAUGGGCGAAAGCCUGACCCAGCAACGCCGCGUGAAGGAAGAAGGUCUUCGGAUUGUAAACUUCUUUUAUCAGGGACGAAGGAAGUGACGGUACCUGAUGAAUAAGCCACGGCUAACUACGUGCCAGCAGCCGCGGUAAUACGUAGGUGGCGAGCGUUAUCCGGAUUUACUGGGUGUAAAGGGCGCGUAGGCGGGAAUGCAAGUCAGAUGUGAAAUCUAUGGGCUUAACCCAUAAACUGCAUUUGAAACUGCAUUUCUUGAGUGUCGGAGAGGUAGACGGAAUUCCUAGUGUAGCGGUGAAACUGCGUAGAUAUUAGGAGGAACACCAGUGGCGAAGGCGGUCUACUGGACGAUAACUGACGCUGAGGCGCGAAAGCGUGGGGAGCAAACAGGAUUAGAUACC
rnacentral:rRNA from 1 species